rnacentral:ncRNA from 1 species
GGCCGGGCGAGAGGCGCUCGAACCGCGGCCGGUAUGCCGGUCACCGAUCAAAUGGCCGCGGCUAGCCAAUGGUGAGACCGACUCGAACCACU